rnacentral:ncRNA from 2 species
GGUCAUGAGUGCCAGCGCGAAGCCCCGGCUCGCUGGCCGGCAACCCUCCAACCGCGGUGGGGUGCCCCGGGUGAAGACCGGGCGAGGCGUCAAUCGGCGUCCGCAAGCACGGCAU